AGAGUUUGAUCAUGGCUCAGGACGAACGCUGGCGGCGUGCCUAACACAUGCAAGUCACGGGGGGUAGCAAUACCAACCGGCGAACGGGUGCGGAACACGUGAGCAAUCUACCGAUCACUGGGGGAUAGCCGGCCCAACGGCCGGGUAAUACCGCAUACGCUCAAGAGGGGACAUCCCCAUUUGAGGAAACCUCCGGGGGUAAUCGAGGAGCUCGCGUCUUAUCAGCUAGUUGGCGAGGUAACGGCUCACCAAGGCUACGACGGGUAGCUGGUCUGAGAGGAUGGCCAGCCACAUUGGACUGCGACACGGCCCAGACUCCUACGGGAGGCAGCAGUGGGGAAUAUUGCGCAAUGGACGAAAGUCUGACGCAGCGACGCCGCGUGUGGGAUGAAGCUCUUCGGGGUGUAAACCACUGUUGCCCGGGACGAAUAUCCUUUUUUGAAAGGAUUGACGGUACCGGGUGAGGAAGCACCGGCUAACUCUGUGCCAGCAGCCGCGGUAAUACAGAGGGUGCGAGCGUUGUCCGGAAUCACUGGGCGUAAAGGGCGCGUAGGUGGCUUGUUAAGCGUGUGGUGAAAGCCUGGGGCUCAACCCCAGGUCUGCCGUGCGAACUGGCAAGCUUGAGCGUAGUAGAGGCAGGUGGAAUUUCGGGUGUAGCGGUGGAAUGCGUAGAUAUCCGAAAGAACACCGGUGGCGAAGGCGGCCUGCUGGGCUACUGCUGACACUGAUGCGCGACAGCGUGGGGAGCAAACAGGAUUAGAUACCCUGGUAGUCCACGCCGUAAACGAUGGGUACUAGGCGUCUGGGGGAGCGACCCCCUGGGUGCCGGCGCUAACGCAUGAAGUACCCCGCCUGGGGAGUACGGCCGCAAGGCUGAAACUCAAAGGAAUUGACGGGGGCCCGCACAAGCGGUGGAGCAUGUGGUUUAAUUCGACGCAACGCGAAGAACCUUACCUGGGUUUGACAUGCUGGAGAAAGCCCUCAGAAACGGGGGCCCCUCUUCGGAGUUCCAGCACAGAUGCUGCAUGGCUGUCGUCAGCUCGUGUCGUGAGAUGUUGGGUUAAGUCCCGCAACGAGCGCAACCCUCAUCCCUAGUUACCAGCGGGUAAAGCCGGGAACUCUAGGGGGACUGCCGGUGCCAAACCGGACGAAGGUGGGGACGACGUCAAGUCAUCAUGGCUCUUACAUCCAGGGCUACACACGUGCUACAAUGGGCCAGACAAAGGGUCGCCAACCCGCGAGGGGGAGCCAAUCCCAUAAACUGGUCCUCAGUUCGGAUUGCAGUCUGCAACUCGACUGCAUGAAGCUGGAAUCGCUAGUAAUCGUGGAUCAGCUACGCCACGGUGAAUACGUUCCCGGGCCUUGUACACACCGCCCGUCACGCCAUGGAAGCUGUGAGUGCCCGAAGUCCGUGCAGGAACCCGCAAGGGGCCGAGCGGCCGAAGGCAAGCGCAGUGACUGGGGCGAAGUCGUAACAAGGUA
rnacentral:rRNA from 1 species